rnacentral:rRNA from 1 species
GGGCUUGACAUCCCACGAACCUGCCUGAAAGGGCGGGGUGCCCGCAAGGGAGCGUGGAGACAGGUGGUGCAUGGCUGUCGUCAGCUCGUGUCGUGAGGUGUUGGGUUAAGUCCCGCAGCGAGCGCAACCCUCACCCCUAGUUGCCACCGGGUAAGGCCGAGCACUCGAGGGGAACUGCCAGCGCCAAGCUGGAGGAAGGCGGGGAUGACGUCAAGUCAUCAUGCCCCUUACGCCCUGGGCUACACACGUGCUACAAUGGCCAGUACAAAGGGAUGCGAGACCGCAAGGUGGAGCUAAUCCCAAAAAGCUGGUCUAAGUUCAGAUUGCAGUCUGCAACUCGACUGCAUGAAGGAGGAAUCGCUAGUAAUCGCGCAUCAGCACGGCGCGGUGAAUACGUUCCCGGGCCUUGUACACACCGCCCGUCACACCACGAAAGCUGUCUGUACUCGAAGUCGCUGAG